GAUGAACGCUGGCGGCGUGCCUAACACAUGCAAGUCGUACGAGCUCGAUCUUCGGAACGGGUUAGUGGCGCACGGGUGAGUAACACGUAGGUGACCUACCCCAGAGUGGGGGAUAACUUCUCGAAAGAGAGGCUAAUACCGCAUACACUCGGUCAUUCAUUUGGCCGAGCAAAGCUCCGGCGCUUUGGGACGGGCCUGCGUCCGAUUAGCUAGUUGGUAGGGUAAUGGCUUACCAAGGCUUUGAUCGGUAGCUGGUCUGAGAGGACGAUCAGCCACACUGGCACUGACACACGGGCCAGACUCCUACGGGAGGCAGCAGUGAGGAAUAUUGGGCAAUGGGCGAAAGCCUGACCCAGCAACGCCGCGUGAGGGAUGAAGGCCUUCGGGUUGUAAACCUCUUUCUGGGAGAAGAGACAAGGACGGUAUCCCAGGAAUAAGUCUCGGCUAACUACGUGCCAGCAGCCGAU
rnacentral:rRNA from 1 species